rnacentral:rRNA from 1 species
UACGUAGGGAGCAAGCGUUGUCCGGAAUCAUUGGGCGUAAAGCGCGCGUAGGUGGCUUCGUAAGUCCGUUGUGAAAGUCAAAGGCUCAACCUUUGAAAGCCGAUGGAUACUGUGGAGCUAGAGUACGGAAGAGGCGAGUGGAAUUCCUGGUGUAGCGGUGGAAUGCGCAGAUAUCAGGAGGAACACCGAUGGCGAAGGCAGAUCUCUGGGCCGUAACUGACGCUGAGGAGCGAAAGCGUGGGGAGCGAACAGG